rnacentral:rRNA from 1 species
CCUACGUGAGGCAGCAGUAGGGCAUCUUCCACAAUGGGCGAAAGCCUGAUGGAGCAACGCCGCGUGGGUGAAGAAGGUCUUCGGAUCGUAAAACCCUGUUGUUAGAGAAGAAAGUGCGUGAGAGUAACUGUUCACGUGUCGACGGUAUCUAACCAGAAAGCCACGGCUAACUACGUGCCAGCAGCCGCGGUAAUACGUAGGUGGCAAGCGUUAUCCGGAUUUAUUGGGCGUAAAGGGAACGCAGGCGGUCUUUUAAGUCUGAUGUGAAAGCCUUCGGCUUAACCGGAGUAGGGCAUUGGAAACUGGGAGACUUGAGUGCAGAAGAGGAGAGUGGAACUCCAGGUGUAGCGGUGAAAUGCGUAGAUAUAUGGAAGAACACCAGUGGCGAAAGCGGCUCUCUGGUCUGUAACUGACGCUGAGGUUCGAAAGCGUGGGUAGCAAACAGGAUUAGAUACCCUAGUAGUC